UUCUGUCAACAGUCUGUCAUUUCUUUUAAUUGACCAUGGCUUCGUCAAAAUUGUGAUUGUUUAGUAUUUGUUCAAUAUUUACAGCGUCAACCUUUCUUCAAUUACUUGCCUCACUAUGGGGGUCCAAGGCAAUCAGGACCACCCACACAAGUGAAUGAUUUCCUCUACCCAGCAGGCCAGCCUUACCCUCAGCCUGGACUCAACGGCCCUGUCAGCAUGGAAAUAGUGUUUUCACAGAGUUUUCCUGGCAUGUCUAAUGGUGGCCAGAUCAAUGGACCACAGUCCUAUCCCUCUCAAGCCUUCAUCAAAUAUUCCCUACCUAAGGCCCCGGGAAGAAAGAGUGUAGAAAUUUACUACCCCUAUGACUUUGUGCAGCAAAAG